AUACGUAGGGGGCGAGCGUUGUCCGGAAUGAUUGGGCGUAAAGGGCGCGUAGGCGGCCCGGUAAGUCUGGAGUGAAAGUCCUGUUUUUAAGAUGGGAAUUGCUUUGGAUACUGUCGGGCUUGAGUGCAGGAGAGGUAAGUGGAAUUCCCAGUGUAGCGGUGAAAUGCGUAGAGAUUGGGAGGAACACCAGUGGCGAAGGCGACUUACUGGACUGUAACUGACGCUGAGGCGCGAAAGUGUGGGGAGCAAACAGGCUUAGAUACCCUGGUAGUCCACACUGUAAACGAUGAAUGCUAGGUGUAGGGGGUAUCGACCCCUUCUGUGCCGCAGUCAACACAAUAAGCAUUCCGCCUGGGGAGUACGGCCGCAAGGUUGAAACUCAAAUGAAUUGACGGGG
rnacentral:rRNA from 1 species